rnacentral:lncRNA from 1 species
CGUGUGCAGAGCAUCAGUGCUACUGUGACUACAGAACUGAAUAUGAACAUGAAGGUCUUCAUUCUCUUGUGUAUGGUAACCUUUGCUGCUUCGGGCAGCAUUGAGUCCUAUGAAUACCGACCACCAAGGCGUUCGUCUGAGGAGUCCUACGAGUCCGGCGAGGCCAAGUACAACUUCAACUGGGCCGUGAGUGACGAUUCCUCAAGCAACGAGUUCUGACACCAGGAAGCCCGUGACGGCGACCACACCCAGGGAUCGUACUACGUGCAACUUCCCGACGGCCGCCUGCAGACCGUCAAGUACUUCGUGGACGGCGACUCCGGCUACGUGGCCGAAGUCAGUUAUGAGGGCGACGUCUCCUACGAAUCUGCUUCCUUUGAAUCGCGAGAGUACAGGCCUCCCAGACCUCGCUAUUUCUAUGACUCCAACGAAUCAAAAUAAAUUCCUCUUCAUAAACAUGUAUAAUAGUUGAUUACUGUGUUCUUCAGAUGAUAUUUAUUUAUACUAAUAAAGUAAACAUACAAAUUG